ensembl:lncRNA
GUACAACCCCUGAAAAUGGCAAAAACGACACAAAUUUUGCAGAGAAAAUUCAAAAUAACUGACUUCCUGUUUUGAUUCGAAUUUCAUACCAAGAGACUUUUUUGUAGGUAUUGGUGUGUUGCAUGUGUGUACCGAUUUUUGUACAUGUACGUGAAACGUAGCUCGAGGCGCACUCCGUUGAAAAUGUAUAGGUGGCGCUAUCGAGGCAUUUUGCCACACCCAAUGGAAUAUUGGCCUUCAGAUGUGUUCAGGCCAGGACUCUUAUCGAACAUGUGAAGUUUGGGCAAGAUCAGACAUUUUAUGCCUGAGUUACAAUAACUUUUAUUCCCAUGGCGAGACAUCGAACUUUGUGACGGCGCCAUGGACACACCCUUUAACGAAAACUCAAGAUCUUCACAAUUUAACAUCGCAC